rnacentral:rRNA from 1 species
UCCAGACUCCUACGGGAGGCAGCAGUGAGGAAUAUUGGUCAAUGGGCUUACGCCUGAACCAGCCAAGUCGCGUGAGGGAAGACUGCCCUAUGGGUUGUAAACCUCUUUUGUCAGGGAGCAACGCCGGCUACGUGUAGCCGGACUGAGAGUACCUGAAGAAAAAGCAUCGGCUAACUCCGUGCCAGCAGCCGCGGUAAUAUGGAGGAUGCGAGCGUUAUCCGGAUUUAUUGGGUUUAAAGGGUGCGUAGGCGGGACCUUAAGUCAGCGGUAAAAUUGCGGUGCUCAACGCCGUAGAGCCGUUGAAACUGGGGUUCUUGAGUGAGCGAGAAGUAUGCGGAAUGCGUGGUGUAGCGGUGAAAUGCAUAGAUAUCACGCAGAACCCCGAUUGCGAAGGCAGCAUACCGGCGCUCAACUGACGCUGAGGCACGAAAGUGCGGGUAUCGAACAGGAUUAGAUACCCGGGUACC